AUUGAACGCUGGCGGCAGGCCUAACACAUGCAAGUCGAACGAGUGGCGGACAGGUGAGUAAUGUCUGGGAAACUGCCUGAUGGAGGGGGAUAACUCCUGGCAACGGUAGCUAAUACCGCAUACCCUCAGAUGUGCCCAGAUGGGAUUAGCGAGUUGGGGGGGUAACGGCUAACCAAGGCGACGAUCCCUAGCUGGUCUGAGGGGAGGACCAGCCACACUGGAACUGAGACACGGUCCGGCCGCCUACGGGAGGCAGCAGUGGGGAAUAUUGCACAAUGGGCGCAAUCCUGAUGCAGCCAUGCCGCGUGUAUGAAGAAGGCCGUCGGGUUGUAAAGUACUUUCAGCGGGGAGGCGUUACCCGCAGAAGAAGCACCGGCUAACUCCGUGCCAGCAGCCGCGGUAAUAC
rnacentral:rRNA from 1 species